UACGUAGGGUGCGAGCGUUAAUCGGAAUUACUGGGCGUAAAGCGUGCGCAGGCGGCCUUAAAAGUCAGAUGUGAAAUCCCCGAGCUCAACUUGGGAACUGCGUUUGAAACUCUAAGGCUAGAAUAUGUCAGAGGGGGGUAGAAUUCCACGUGUAGCAGUGAAAUGCGUAGAGAUGUGGAGGAAUACCAAUGGCGAAGGCAGCCCCCUGGGAUAAUAUUGACGCUCAUGCACGAAAGCGUGGGGAGCAAACAGG
rnacentral:rRNA from 2 species